rnacentral:rRNA from 1 species
CCUACGGGAGGCAGCAGUGGGGAAUAUUGCACAAUGGGGGAAACCCUGAUGCAGCGACGCCGCGUGGGUGAAGAAGCGCCUCGGCGCGUAAAGCCCUGUCAGCAGGGAAGAAAAUGACGGUACCUGAAGAAGAAGCCCCGUCUAACUACGUGUCAGCAGCCGCGGUAAUACGUAGGGGGCAAGCGUUAUCCGGAUUUACUGGGUGUAAAGGGGGCGCAGACGGCGAUGCAAGCCAGGAGUGAAAGCCCGGGGCCCAACCCCGGGACUGCACUUGGAACUGGGUGGCUAGAGUGCAGGAGGGGCAGGCGGAAUUCGUGGUGUAGCGGGGAAAUGCGUAGAUAUCAGGAGGAACACCGGUGGCGAAGGCGGCCUGCUGGACUGCAACUGACGUUGAGGCCCGAAAGCGUGGGGAGCAAACAGGAUUAGAUACCCGGGUAGUC